rnacentral:rRNA from 1 species
GACGAACCGAGCGAACGUUGUUCGGAAUCACUGGGCUUAAAGGGCGCGUAGGCGGGUGAACAAGUGCGGGGUGAAAUCCUCCAGCUCAACUGGAGAACUGCACCGGAUACUGGUUGUCUCGAGGAAGGUAGGGGUGUGUGGAACAGUCAGUGGAGCGGUGAAAUGCAUUGAUAUUGUACGGAACUCCGGUGGCGAAGGCGACACACUGGACCUUUUCUGACGCUGAGGCGCGAAAGCUAGGGGAGCAAACGGG